CUCCCCCCGUCCCUGGCUCCGCCCCGCGCACGGCCCGGGGACCUCGCGCCCGCUCUCUGUUGUUGUGCCUGCCCUCUGCUGUGCCUGAAGACAGAACACCUUCACACACUUCACUGCAUGGUCUGUUAAUAAAACAGACGACGGAAGCGAGGCGUGUGUGAAAGUGGAAAGAGGCGGAAUAUGUACGUGAUUUUUUUUUUUUUUCCUCCAGGCUGCCUUGGAACACCCCCGCGUUUCCUCCGUGUGGACCCAGCCUUCCGCGCGAUGAGUAGUGGGGAUUGUAGUUUGCCCGCAGCUGCUGGCCCUGCGGCUGUCCCGACCAGGUUAUGAGGAAGAGCGAGCCCUCGAUCACCAAUGGGAAGGUCUUUUCAGCCUCGAGGCCGAACCUUGGGGAGUUGGGAGUUUACACUUUCCAUUCCUGGGCGUGACACCUGGAGGUCAAAUGAUGGAGAUAUGAAAAUCAGUGCAGAGAGAGAGCUCGAUGGAAGUUGUGGAAGCAGUCACAGGUGACCACAGUGGCCAGAUUAAGGCAGGGAAAAAAGUGAAGGGAAUCCCAGGCAGAAGAAAGCAUGUAACCAGACACAGGCAUGAAGAAACUGCACUUAUUUGUAGAAGAACUCCCAUGAGGAUAAUAGGAGAGGUGACAGGAGCUGAGGUUGGAGAAUCAGCGUGCAGCAAACGUGGGGAGUGUCCAAUAUGGUCCAACUUUAAGGAGUCUGACUUACGUUGCUGAAUGGACAACAUCUAAGUUUGUUUCCUUGUUUUUACACAGGAGCGGUAUGUAAUUUCCAUGUUGAGAAAGAUAAUUCUGAACCAGUUGUUUUGGAAGGUGGAUUGAUGGUGUGGGAGACAGGUAUUGGAAGGAGAGAGACAGUCAGAGAUGGUGACAAUAAUUUAGGGAGAACUGGGGAAGGUCAGUUGUGUUCCAGCCCAAGCAGCAUCUUUGAAACACUGAAGGGGAAUGCUCCAGUGAUCCACAUGUGAGAGGCCCAACCUAGAGUGGCAAUGAGUGGGUGGAAAAAGUCCCUGGAAAGAACUGGAUGUAGACCCAAUUCUUGGUAGCCUGACUAGGGCCUGACUGUUCUUCAAGACACUCUCCUGACAGAAUUAGAUCUUUCUGACUGUCCUGACCCCUGUUACCAGCUGUUGCUACUCUCGUACAUUCUGGUUCAUGAGCCAUGGUUACAUGCAUGCUCCCCUUGUGGAUUAACC